GGGGAAUUUUGGACAAUGGGCGAAAGCCUGAUCCAGCCAUGCCGCGUGAGUGAAGAAGGCCUUCGGGUUGUAAAGCUCUUUCGGCGGGGAAGAAAUCGCAUUCUCUAAUACAGGAUGUGGAUGACGGUACCCGAAUAAGAAGCACCGGCUAACUACGUGCCAGCAGCCGCGGUAAUACGUAGGGUGCGAGCGUUAAUCGGAAUUACUGGGCGUAAAGCGUGCGCAGGCGGUUUCGUAAGACAGACGUGAAAUCCCCGGGCUCAACCUGGGAACUGCGUUUGUGACUGCGAGGCUAGAGUUUGGCAGAGGGGGGUGGAAUUCCACGUGUAGCAGUGAAAUGCGUAGAGAUGUGGAGGAACACCGAUGGCGAAGGCAGCCCCCUGGGCCAAUACUGACGCUCAUGCACGAAAGCGUGGGGAGCAAACA
rnacentral:rRNA from 1 species